GAGGCAGCAGUGGGGAAUAUUGCACAAUGGGCGCAAGCCUGAUGCAGCCAUGCCGCGUGUGUGAAGAAGGCCUUCGGGUUGUAAAGCACUUUCAGCGGGGAGGAAGGCGUUAAGGUUAAUAACCUUGUCGAUUGACGUUACCCGCAGAAGAAGCACCGGCUAACUCCGUGCCAGCAGCCGCGGUAAUACGGAGGGUGCAAGCGUUAAUCGGAAUUACUGGGCGUAAAGCGCACGCAG
rnacentral:rRNA from 1 species